rnacentral:ribozyme from 1 species
GAGCCGUGUGCGAUGAAAGUCGCAAGCACGGUUC